GAUGAAGAACGUAGCGAAAUGCGAUACGUAAUGUGAAUUGCAGAAUUCAGUGAAUCAUCGAAUCUUUGAACGCAUAUUGCGCUCUCUGGUAUUCCGGAGAGCAUGCUUGUUUGAGUAUCAGUAAACACCUCAACUUCCAUAUCUUUUUUGAAAUGGGAGUUGGACUUGAGUGAUCCCAACGCUUUUCCUCACCGAAAAGUGGCGGGUUACUUGAAAUGCAGGUGCAGCUGGACUUUUCUCUGAGCUAUAAGCAUAUCUAUUUAGUCUGCCUAAAAAACAGAUUAUUACCUUUGCUGCAGCUAACAUAAAGGAGAUUAGUUCUUGUGCUGACUGAUGCAGGAUUCACAAAGACAGCUUCGGCCGACUUUGUAAACUCGAUCUCAAAUCAAGUAAGACUACCCGCUGAACUUAAGCAUAUCAAUAAGCGAGGA
rnacentral:misc_RNA from 1 species